rnacentral:rRNA from 1 species
UUGCUCCUGGGAGCAUCAGAAGAAUGUAGAGUUCGAUUCUGGCUCAGAUUGAACGCCGGCGGGAGCGAGACAAGUGGGUGCCGUAGAACGGUAUGUCAGACUUCGGUCUGGGUGGCGAGGGCACCGGUGAUAAUGUAAUGGAACGUGCCUAGUAGCGGGGGAUAAUUACGCGAAAGCGUAGCCAAUACCGCAUACGCCCUUCGGGGAAAGCGGGGGGACCUUCGGGCCUCGCACUAUUAGGAGUGUGGCCGAUAUCGGAUUACGUUAGGUUGGUGUGGGUAACGGCUCACCAGCGACGAUCCGUAGCUGGUUUGAGAGGACGACCAGCCACACUGGGACUGAGACACGGCCCAGACUCCUACGGGAGGCAGCAGUGGGGAAUUUUGACAAUGGGGAAACCCUGAUCCAGCCAUCCUGGCGUGCGAUGAAGUGCCUUCUCAAGCAGUAGCACCCUUGGCAGGAAAAGAAACGGCACGGAUAAUACCCCGUGCAACUGACGGUACCUGCAGAAUAAGCACCGGCUAACUACGCCAGCAGCCGCGGUAAUACGUAGGGUGCAAGCGUUAAUCGGAAUUAUCGCAUGCAAGCGUGCGCAGGCGGUACUGGAAAGAAAGAUAACCCAGAGCUUAACUUUGAAACUGCAUUUUUAACUACCGAGCUAGAGUGUGUCAGAGGGAGGUGGAAUUCGCGUGUAGCAGUGAAAUGCGUAGAUAUGCGGAGGAACACCGAUGGCGAAGGCAGCCUCCUGGGAUACCGACGCUCAUGCACGAAAGCGUGGGGAGGCAAACAGGAUUAGAUACCCCGGUAGUCCACGCCCUAAACGAUGUCAACUAGCUGUUGGGGCCUUCGGCCUUGGUAGCGCAGCUAACGCGGUGAAGUUGACCGCCUGGGGAGUACGGUCGUAAGAUUAAAACUCAAAGGAAUUGACGGGACCCGCACAAGCGGUGGAUGAUGUGAUUAAUUGAUGCAACGCGAAAAACCUUACCUACCCUUGACAGCGUUCGAAUCCCGAAGAGAUUUGGGAGUGCUCGCAAGAGAACCGAACACAGGUGCUGCAUGGCUGUCGUCAGCUCGUGUCGAGAUGUAAGUUGUAAGUUAAGUCCCGCACCAGCGCAACCCUUGUCAUUAGUUGCUACAAAGGGUACUUCCAUCGAGACUGCCGGUGACAAACCGGAGUAGGCAGGUGGGGAUGACGUCAAGUCCUCAUGGCCCUUAUGGGUAGGGCUUCACACGUCAUACAAUGGUCGGGACAGAGGGUCGCCAACCCGCGAGGGGAGCCAAUCCUGAAACCCGAUCGUAGUCCGGAUCGCAGUCUGCAACUCGACUGCGUGAAGUCGGAAUCGCUAGUAAUCGCGGAUCAGCAUGUCGCGGUGAAUACGUUCCCGGGUCUUGUACACACCGCCCGUCACACCAUGGGAGUGGGUUUUACCAGAAGUAGCGGCCUAACCGUAAGGAGGGCGAUUACCACGGUAGGAUUCAUAUGACUGGGGUGAAGUCGUAACAAGGUAG